AGAAAAAUUCAUACAGGUUUGGAGUGUUAAGCAGGGAUGCAGGCCUGCUGCUGUUCUCUCCCUUCUCACUCUCACUGAAACCCCAGACAGAAGCUCCCUGGAGACCUUCCCGUCUUGUUUAAACCUGACACAAAUUCCACGUCACAGUGCCCAGAGUGACGGCGCUUGCAGACACAAAAUCAAAUAUUUCCGUUCCUGGUUGUACCCAACCCCCUCUACGCGUCCCCUCCGACACCUGAACCCUUCCUUUCCUCACCAGUUCCAGCACUGCAGGUCGGCCAUUUGUCACAAAGUAAUUAUAGAAUUAUUGAUUGGCAAGCAAUUAACAGUCCCUCCCUCUUCACUAUUCCCUCCCUCCCCAUCUUUUAAUUUGCAGUCAGACUGGCAAGAGCAAAAAAGCUUUAGGAGUAUCACGUUUAAUUCCUUUGGGAUUUCUCUAUAGUCUUCAGAUUAAUAGCGGGACAGGGACAAAAGGCCUUUUUCCACCUGCUGUUUCCUGCUCUGUCUGGCUGCAUGUCUCCAGGCCCUUGCUCUCUCCGACAGCAUCUCUCAUGCAUUCUACAGACAGUCGAAAAGCUCCUUGUAUUAGCAUUGUGAUGAGGAUAUAUCGUUGGAUAUCUGCUGAAUUUGAUCAAUUCUGAGUGUGGUGCAAUUUAAAGGAAUGAGGCUGUAACUUCCUGAGGUUGUGUAAUCCAACUGACCCUUUUGAUUAUUCCGAGAGAAAGUGCGGGGGUUGUGUUAAAUUACAUUGUGAAUGCAGAACA